GUGUGUUUGUCUGACGACGAAGCUCGUACCCCGUUCUCUUUUGAGCUUCCUUGCAUCCUUCAUCAGUUGUUCAUAAUCGUCUAGUUCAUUGGUAUCCUCGGAAGUACCCUCCAUGGGUUGUUGUGAGCUUUCGUUUCCACUUUCGGCAGCAACGCUUCUCGCCCUGAUAUUUGUCUCCGAGAGCGCAGCUUGCAACUCGGCUUCCAGCUCCGUCAGGUCUAUUUCUUCGUCGAGCUUUUCUUCUUCGUCGCUGAGGGCUACGGCUGAAGAAAAAGAAGCAUGGAUACACGGUACGAGUUUUUUCUGGGUAGGGAAGGCUGAGCGAUUAUGUGCGUUGCCCGCAGAAAUGAACAGCCAGCACUCGCAAAAAGGCGUCGAAGAAAAGGGGAUGGGUUUUUGAAACUACAGAACGUGGCAAGUUUAUUCAUCUCCAAAUAGACACAGCUAUUGUUUUUUAGUCAUGAAGCACUGGCUUGUUGUCAGAUGAAUGGUGUGUGAUGGCUGUGGCAAGAAGCAGCUAGGCAGCUUCCGUGGAUUGACAUUCACGGAGUUUGUGGUAACACUUCUCCGGAUUCAAAAUGUUUGUAAGUGGAAAAACAUGCUCGCUGAAACGGCACUUGGAAACUCUUGUGUGGAAACGUCUUGAAAGGUGGUUCCCUUUUACGACGAUAACGAAGCUGAAUGUAUAGAAUAAAGCUUCACAGAGUGCACGUGUCGGCGCUAAAUAUGACCCGAAUGUAAAUUUGGUCGGAAUCCAAUCGUUCGUCAUGUAGAUCAACGGAGCAGUGAUCCCGCAGGCUCCGGUGUUGCGUAAACGAACAAGCGGUAACAUGCUUUCUGUGUUGUUCCCAAAGAAAUGAUGGAUGUAGGAUCGUUCUUCCGGUGAGGACGAAAAUGCAAGCGCCGCUGAAGAGGGAACAUGAUAAUAGGGUAAACUAGAAAGACGCGCUUUGCCGACCCCCUGCGAGUAAGAAGGCAGACAUUCAGCUAAGCACGCAGCCAGGAGACGAAGCCUGUGGUUCGUGCUUUGGACAAAAAUGCGAAAUGCGAUCUAGAAGACGACGCGCAGCCGUCAAGAGUGCCGGUGGCAGAACCCAACGUGCUUCGAAAGAAUGGAAACCAUCCGAAUCCCCAUAGACGCACGCUCGAUUAUGUAUUCUGUUUCUUCCGGUCCCUCUUGAGACAAAUUCGCCGAAGGAACCUUCUCAUCUGGCAAAGGACGUUUCGCCGUAUGAGUUGGUGACAGCAGCGGAUCCGACGGCGCCGAUCCCUGUGAGUGGAGUGCUUCGUCCUCCAUCUUCCUGUCUGUUUCCUGCCCAGACCGAAU
rnacentral:lncRNA from 1 species